UUUGCCCCGAGACUCAGCCACUCCACUAUGAGGCCUGUGUCUGAAAGCAGGGGAGAGUGGCCAGAACACGACCUCUAGAAUGAUAUUCAUAGCAGUUUCAUUCAUUCUAUCCCCAAACUGGAAGCCUGCCGGCACCUACCCCUAGGAGAGGGUCUAAAGCAGCGUGUUAAGCAGAGAAAGGAGAUAUGUAGAGCACACUAGCUGCCUGUGAUCCCACCACUGACCUUCAGUAGCAGGCCAGGCCAACCAUGGUGACAGAGGUCAGAACAGUGAGCCUCUCUGGGCAAGGGGCAGGACUGGCUGGAGGGCAGCUCAGGGACCUUUCUGAGGUGAGGGACUGCUCCGUGUCUGCAGGGGACAUCGGUCACACAGAGGCCUGCACCUUUCCCAGUUUCAACCCAGGGUAUACCUGGGCUGCGCAUGUCCUGUCAGUUAAACCUCCACACAAAAGCAAAAGCAAUUAACCAAUUUGAUGCACGACACUUCUUCAUUUCUUCAUUGUUGCUCUAAUAAAUUAUCACAGUUAGUGGCUUAAAACAAGGGACAUCCAUUCUCUUACACUCUGGAGUCAGAGGUCCAAAAUGGCUCCCCCUGGCUGAAAGCACACACAUCAGGUGGCCCUCCUUGCUGGAAGCCAGGGGAGGCCCGCGGACUCACUGUUGUCCUCUACUUUUUGGCUCCUGGCCCCCUCCAUCUUCAAGGCUGGUGGGGGCAGGUGGCGUGUCUCUCACAGUGUGACUCUUUCUCUGCGUCUCCUGUCUGCUGGAAAGACAACACAAAGACACCAGGGAAACAGAGUAGGCACCCCACCUGAAGGUCAGCGGAUCGAGGACCUUCAUUCCUCCGCCCUGACACACGGCAUCUUCAUGGUUGCAGGGAUGAGGGAGGACACUCUUGAGGCCAUUAUCCUGCCCACGCUGUGGGAAAAGGUCAAGUAGGGGACACACAUGCGGGAGUCUCACUGGGAAGGCAGAGGCUGGGAGAGAUGGCAACAUACUCUGUCUCUAUCUGGGCUGUGGCUACAAGGGCAUAUUAAUUUUUUAAAUCAAGAUCAGGCUGUGCAUAUAAAAUUUAUGUACCCUACAUACAACGUGUAUCAGUAAGAAUAUUUUUGGAGGAGAUUUAUGCUUUUAAUCACCAUGUUUGUAAAUCAUUCAGCACAUCCUGAAUAGAGAAUGGACGUUUGAACUCAUUUGCCCAAAACUGGAAAUUUCCAAACUUAGGUUAUCAGUGAUGCAGGAAA
rnacentral:lncRNA from 1 species